rnacentral:rRNA from 1 species
AUUGAACGCUGGCGGCAUGCUUUACACAUGCAAGUCGAACGGUAACAGGCCGCAAGGUGCUGACGAGUGGCGAACGGGUGAGUAAUGCAUCGGAACGUGCCCAGUCGUGGGGGAUAACGCAGCGAAAGCUGUGCUAAUACCGCAUAAGAUCUAUGGAUGAAAGCGGGGGACCGUAAGGCCUCGCGCGAUUGGAGGGGCCGAUGUCAGAUUAGGUAGUUGGUGGGGUAAAGGCUCACCAAGCCAACGAUCUGUAGCUGGUCUGAGAGGACGACCAGCCACACUGGGACUGAGACACGGCCCAGACUCCUACGGGAGGCAGCAGUGGGGAAUUUUGGACAAUGGGCGCAAGCCUGAUCCAGCAAUGCCGCGUGCAGGAAGAAGGCCUUCGGGUUGUAAACUGCUUUUGUACGGAGCGAAAAGGUUUGGGUUAAUACCCUGGGCCGAUGACGGUACCGUAAGAAUAAGCACCGGCUAACUACGUGCCAGCCGCCGCCGUAA